rnacentral:lncRNA from 1 species
GCACCGGUCUCCAAAUGCAGCUGGAUCCUUCUCUCCGAGAUUCUGCUCCUGGGAUGGGUCUACAAAUAUGCGGUAUGAAAAAACCCGCAUGGAGUUCCCAUUGUGAGACCUCCACAGAAAUGAACACAACUGGUUAUCCAUGAGGAAGUGGGUUCAAUCCCUGGCCUCACUCGGUGGGUUAAGGAUCUGGCGCUGCCGUGAGCUGUGGUGUAGGUCACAGACGAGGCUAGGAUCCCCGUUGUUGUGGCCGUGACAUAGGCUGGCAGCUGUAGCUCCGUUUUGACCACUAUCCUGGGAACCUCCAUCUGUCAUAGGUGCACCUAAAAAGAAAAAAGAAUAAGAAUUGGGGUUGGGGGGAAGCUUAUGUGGGAGUUCCCAACAUGGCGCAGCGGAAACGAAUCCAACUAGGAUCCAUGAGGAUGCAGGUUCCAUCCCUGGCCUCACUCAGUGGAUUAAGGAUCCUGUGUUGCCGUGAGCUGUGGUGUAGAUCACAGAUGCAGCUCAGAUCCUGUGUGGCUGUGGCUGUGGCUGGGAGCAGUGGCCCCAAUUCGACCCCGAGCCUGGGAAACUCCAUAUGCCCCAGUGCAGCCCUAAAAAGCAAAAAAGAAAGAAAGAAAGAAAAAGAAUGGAGAAACAGGGGAAAAGUAAACAGUACGAAUUUGGAAAACAAGUGGACCAGUGGUACAACUUGGCAGACAUGAGAAACUGAAUCUUCCGCUGGCAGGUGGGAAAACGAGGACUUAGUCCCAAUGAUGCUAGAGUAGGCUCCAAAGUCUUGGAAGGUGGAAGUGCUCCGUAUCUCAGGAAGUAGGGUAGAGCUCAAGCAAAGGUGGUGAGUUGAAAACCUAAGUAGGUAAAAGUGCCAAUCACAGGAGUUCCCCCUGUAGCUCAGUGGUAACGAACCCAAUUAGCAUCCAUGAGGAUUCAGGUUUGAUCCUUGGCCUCACUCAGUGGGUUAAGUAUCUGGCAUUGCCAUGAGCUGUGGUAUGGGUUGCAGGUGCAGCUAGGAUCCUGUGUUUCAGUGGCUGUGGUGUAGUCUGGCAGCUGUAGCUCCAAUUGGACCCCUAACCUGGAACUGCCGCUUGCUACAGGUGCAGCCCUAAAAAAAGAAAAAAACGGGGGGAGGGCCAGUCACUCCACCACCCUGACCACCACCACCACCCGCUCCUGACCCAAGCAGAAGUCUGCAGGGUUUUUCUCUGGGAAAGCUAAAAUAGAGUCUCUGAAUUAGACCACACCAAGCCCAGCUGCGAGAAAAGAGAAAUUUCAAAGGCAAAUUUAUUUGGGAAGCUGAGACAUACCCCCCACCCUGACCCCCAAGCCAGCCUC